rnacentral:piRNA from 1 species
UGUGAGCAACACUGAAGGGACUCAUUC